rnacentral:rRNA from 1 species
AUUGAACGCUGGCGGCAGGCCUAACACAUGCAAGUCGAGCGGAGCGGCGGACGGGCGAGUAAUGCAUAGGAAUCUGCCUGGUCUUGGGGGAUAACGUCAGGUCACGGGACCUAAUCCCACAUAGUAUUAGCUGAGCCUAGGUCGUAUUAGCUAGUUGGUGGGGUAAGGGCUUACCAAGGCGACGAUCCGUAACUGGUCUGAGAGGAUGAUCAGUCACACUGGAACUGAGACACGGUCCAGACUCCUACGUGAGGCAGCAGUGGGGAAUCUUGUGCAAUGGGCGAAAGCCUGAUCCAGCCAUGCCGCGUGAGUGAAGAAGGUCUUCGGAUUGUAAAGCUCUGUAAGUUGGGAGGCGUUACCAACAGAAUAAGCACCGGCUAACUUCGUGCCAGCAGCCGCGGUAAUUC